GACGAACGCUGGCGGCGUGCCUAAUACAUGCAAGUAGAACGCUGAAGAGAGGAGCUUGCUCUUCUUGGUUGAGUUGCGCACGGGUGAGUAACGCGUAGGUAACCUGCCUUGUAGCGGGGGAUAACUAUUGGAAACGAUAGCUAAUACCGCAUAACAAUGGAUGACCCAUGUCAUUUAUUUGAAAGGGGCAAAUGCUCCACUACAAGAUGGACCUGCGUUGUAUUAGCUAGUAGGUGAGGUAACGGCUCACCUAGGCGACGAUACAUAGCCGACCUGAGAGGGUGAUCGGCCACACUGGGAAUGGGACACGGCCCAGACUCCUACGGGAGGCAGCAGUAGGGAAUCUUCGGCAAUGGGGGCAACCCUGACCGGGCAACGCCGCGGGAGGGGAGAAGGGUUUCGGAUCGUAAAGCUCGGUUGUAAGUCAAGAACGAGUGUGAGAGUGGAAAGUUCACACUGUGACGGUAGCUUACCAGAAAGAGACGGCUAACUACGUG
rnacentral:rRNA from 1 species